CGCUAGGAAGCUAAACCACCGGACAAAGCAUUGGACUUUUAAACCAAAGAUUGGUGAUUACCGACCACCCCUAGUGA
rnacentral:tRNA from 1 species